rnacentral:pre_miRNA from 1 species
GAAUUACUCCCUUCGUUUUAAAUUACUCGUCGCAGAAAUGAAUGUAUUUAAAACUAAAAUACAUCUAAAUACAUCCAUACUUGCGACAAGUAAUUCGGAACGGAGGGAGUACUAA